rnacentral:rRNA from 1 species
UACGGAGGGAGCUAGCGUUGUUCGGAAUUACUGGGCGUAAAGCGCGCGUAGGCGGCUUUGUAAGUUAGAGGUGAAAGCCCGGGGCUCAACCCCGGAAUUGCCUUUAAGACUGCAUCGCUUGAAUCUGGGAGAGGUGAGUGGAAUUCCGAGUGUAGAGGUGAAAUUCGUAGAUAUUCGGGAGAACACCAGUGGCGAAGGCGGCUCACUGGACCGGCAUUGACGCUGAGGUGCGAAAGCGUGGGGAGCAAACAGG